GGGCGGCAAGCAUUCCCGGCGAUGCACCCGGCUUUUAACCGGGGGAACCGAGUUCGAUCCCAGGGCUGCCCACCA
rnacentral:tRNA from 1 species